rnacentral:rRNA from 1 species
ACGAACGCUGGCGGCGUGCUUAACACAUGCAAGUCGAGCGGUAAGGCCUUUCGGGGUACACGAGCGGCGAACGGGUGAGUAACACGUGGGUGAUCUGCCCUGCACUUCGGGAUAAGCCUGGGAAACUGGGUCUAAUACCGGAUAUGACCUCCUAUCGCAUGGUGGGUGGUGGAAAGAUUUAUCGGUGCCGGAUGGGCCCGCGGCCUAUCAGCUUGUUGGUGGGGUAAUGGCCUACCAAGGCGACGACGGGUAGCCGACCUGAGAGGGUGACCGGCCACACUGGGACUGAGACACGGCCCAGACUCCGACGGGAGGCAGCAGUGGGGAAUAUUGCACAAUGGGCGAAAGCCGGAUGCAGCGACGCCGCGUGAGGGAUGACGGCCGUCGGGUUGUAAACCGCGUUCAGCAGGGACGAAGCGCAAGUGACGGUACCUGCAGAAGAAGCACCGGCUAACUACGU